rnacentral:rRNA from 1 species
GACGAACGCUGGCGGCGUGCCUAAUACAUGCAAGUUGAGCGCUGAAGGUUGGUACUUGUACCAACUGGAUGAGCAGCGAACGGGUGAGUAACGCGUGGGGAAUCUGCCUUUGAGCGGGGGACAACAUCUGGAAACGAAUGCUAAUACCGCAUAAAAACUUUAAACACAAGUUUUAAGUUUGAAAGAUGCAAUUGCAUCACUCAAAGAUGAUCCCGCGUUGUAUUAGCUAGUUGGUGAGGUAAAGGCUCACCAAGGCGAUGAUACAUAGCCGACCUGAGAGGGUGAUCGGCCACAUUGGGACUGAGACACGGCCCAAACUCCUUCGGGAGGCAGCAGUAGGGAAUCUUCGGCCAUGGACGAAAGUCUGACCGAGCAACGCCGCGUGAGUGAAGAAGGUUUUCGGAUCGUAAAACUCUGUUGGUAGGGAAGAACGUUGGUGAGAGUGGAAAGCUCAUCAAGUGACGGUAACUACCCAGAAAGGGACGGCUAACUACGUG